rnacentral:rRNA from 1 species
CUACGGGCUGCACCAGUGAGGAAUAUUGCACAAUGGGGGGAACCCUGAUGCAGCAACGCCGCGUGGAGGAUGACGCAUUUCGGUGUGUAAACUCCUUUUAUAUGCCAAGAAAAUGACGGUAGCAUAUGAAUAAGCACCGGCUAACUCCGUGCCAGCAGCCGCGGUAAUACGGAGGGUGCAAGCGUUACGCGGAAUCACUGGGCGUAAAGGACGCGUAGGCGGGUUGGAAAGUCAGGUGUGAAAUCCUACAGCUUAACUGUAGAACUGCACUUGAAACUUCUAAUCUAGAGUAUGGGAGGGGGAGAUGGAAUUAGUGGUGUAGGGGUAAAAUCCGUAGAUAUCACUAGGAAUACCUAAAGCGAAGGCGAUCUCCUGGAACAUUACUGACGCUAAGGCGUGAAAGCGUGGGGAGCAAACAGGAUUAGAUACCCUCGUAGUC